GUGUCGAUAGCAUAGAGGACACACCUGUUCCCAUACCGAACACAGAAGUUAAGCUCUAUAGCGCCGAAAGUAGUUGGAGGAUCGCUUCCUGCGAGGAUAGGACGAUGC
rnacentral:rRNA from 7 species